GAUGAACGCUGGCGGCGUGCCUAAUACAUGCAAGUCGAGCGAACGGACGAGAAGCUUGCUUCUCUGAUGUUAGCGGCGGACGGGUGAGUAACAAGUGGAUAACCUACCUAUAAGACUGGGAUAACUUCGGGAAACCGGAGCUAAUACCGGAUAAUAUUUUGAACCGCAUGGUUCAAAAGUGAAAGACGGUCUUGCUGUCACAUAUAGAUGGAUCCGCGCUGCAUUAGCUAGUUGGUAAGGUAACGGCUUACCAAGGCAACGAUGCAUAGCCGACCUGAGAGGGUGAUCGGCCACACUGGAACUGAGACACGGUCCAGACUCCUACGGGAGGCAGCAGUAGGGAAUCUUCCGCAAUGGGCGAAAGCCUGACGGAGCAACGCCGCGUGAGUGAUGAAGGUCUUCGGAUCGUAAAACUCUGUUAUUAGGGAAGAACAUAUGUGUAAGUAACUGUGCACAUCUUGACGGUACCUAAUCAGAAAGCCACGGCUAACUACGUG
rnacentral:rRNA from 1 species